rnacentral:sRNA from 1 species
UUUGCGUUAGGGAUUGAAACGGCAUCCUUUUACUGUCAGUUCGAGUGAAUUUUUGAAGAAUGAAAAAAAUUUGUAUCGAGAACAAAGUAAAAGAUAUAGUGUAAAGCCCGACCUUUU